AUUGAACGCUGGCGGAAUGCUUUACACAUGCAAGUCGAGCGGCAGCGCGGGGGCAACCCUGGCGGCGAGCGGCGAACGGGUGAGUAACACAUCGGAACGUACCCAGUUGUGGGGGAUAGCCCCGCGAAAGCCGGAUUAAUACCGCAUACGACCUGAGGGUGAAAGUGGGGGAUCGCAAGGCCUCACGCAGUUGGAGCGGCCGAUGGCGGAUUAGCUAGUUGGUGAGGUAAAGGCUCACCAAGGCGACGAUCCGUAGCUGGUCUGAGAGGACGACCAGCCACACUGGAACUGAGACACGGUCCAGACUCCUACGGGAGGCAGCAGUGGGGAAUUUUGGACAAUGGGGGCAACCCUGAUCCAGCCAUUCCGCGUGAGUGAAGAAGGGCUUCGGGUUGUAAAGCUCUUUCGGCAGGAACGAAACGGUGGAGGCUAAUACCUUUCAUCAAUGACGGUACCUGAAGAAGAAGCACCGGCUAACUACGUGCCAGCAGCCGCGGUAAUACGUAGGGUGCGAGCGUUAAUCGGAAUUACUGGGCGUAAAGCGUGCGCAGGCGGUUAUGUAAGACAGAUGUGAAAUCCCCGGGCUUAACCUGGGAACUGCGUUUGUGACUGCAUAACUCGAGUGUGGCAGAGGGGGGUGGAAUUCCACGUGUAGCAGUGAAAUGCGUAGAGAUGUGGAGGAACACCGAUGGCGAAGGCAGCCCCUGGGUUAACACUGACGCUCAUGCACGAAAGCGUGGGGAGCAAACAGGAUUAGAUACCCUGGUAGUCCACGCCCUAAACGAUGCGAACUAGGUGUUGGAGAAGGAGACUUCUUUAGUACCGUAGCUAACGCGUGAA
rnacentral:rRNA from 1 species